rnacentral:rRNA from 1 species
AGAGUUUGAUCAUGGCUCAGAUUGAACGCUGGCGGCAUGCUUUACACAUGCAAGUCGAACGGCAGCACAGGGAGCUUGCUCCCGGGUGGCGAGUGGCGCACGGGUGAGUAAUACAUCGGAACGUGUCCUGUUGUGGGGGAUAACUGCUCGAAAGGGUGGCUAAUACCGCAUGAGACCUGAGGGUGAAANCGGGGGAUCGCAAGACCUCGCGCAAUUGGAGCGGCCGAUGCCCGAUUAGCUAGUUGGUGAGGUAAAGGCUCACCAAGGCGACGAUCGGUAGCUGGUCUGAGAGGACGACCAGCCACACUGGGACUGAGACACGGCCCAGACUCAUACGGGAGGCAGCA